AGUGAACGCUGGCGGUAGGCCUAACACAUGCAAGUCGAACGGCAGCACAGUAAGAGCUUGCUCUUACGGGUGGCGAGUGGCGGACGGGUGAGGAAUACAUCGGAAUCUACUUUUUCGUGGGGGAUAACGUAGGGAAACUUACGCUAAUACCGCAUACGACCUACGGGUGAAAGCAGGGGAUCUUCGGACCUUGCGCGAUUGAAUGAGCCGAUGUCGGAUUCGCUAGUUGGCGGGGUAAAGGCCCACCAAGGCGACGAUCCGUAGCUGGUCUGAGAGGAUGAUCAGCCACACUGGAGCUGAGACACGGUCCCGACUCCUACGGGAGGCAGCAGUGGGAAAUCUUGGACAAUGGGCGCAAGCCUGAUCCAGCCAUACCGCGUGGGUGAAGAAGGCCUUCGGGUUGUAAAGCCCUUUUGUUGGGAAAGAAAAGCAGCAGGUUAAUACCCCGCUGUUCUGACGGUACCCAAAGAGUAAGCACCGGCUAACUUCGU
rnacentral:rRNA from 1 species